UUAAGCAGAAAGUAAAAAUAAAUUGUUUAUGCUCAUAAAAUUAAGUAAAAACAGCCUCUUUACUGAGAGAAAAACUCUAAUUCAGUUUGGGCAAGUUUCUGAUUUCCAUUCAGCUAAAUAUGUUCAAAUUGUUUCUCUUUAAAAAUAAAAAUUAAUCUUACAAUCCUUUAAAGACAGAAUAUUAUCUUAUUUUUCAGACAUUUCAGUAUGUUUGUGUUUGUUGUGAAGUUGUUUUGUUUUUGUUUCAUAAAUAUGUCUGUUUUCUUAAUUUCCCCAAACAUUUUCAAUCACAAAAUAUUGUAAUAUAAAUGUGAGAUUUUACAAAAACUAUUUAAACAAAAACCUUUCAUAUUUAGACCUUUCUUUAAUACAUUUUAAUAUUUUAUUUUGUUUUAUCAGCAGUUUGUACCUGUAUAAAGGUAUAGAUUAAUGAUGGGAUGUGAUAACAAAAAAACAAAUUAAUAAAUGUUUUUGUAAUUAAUUAAUUGGGAUUAAUCACAUUCUUUAUCAAAUAUCAAUAUUUUACCCAAUAAAGAUUUUUCAGUUCCAAUAAAUAGACUAAUUUGGUUUAUGAUGACAAUCAGCUAUUUCUACCUCUAUGUUGUGGAAGCAGGAAUGUAGCGGCUGUACUUUGAUGCUGUGGUUCAUCCAACCAUACAGAUCCAGACGUACAUUUUAUAUGUUUUACUACUAUUUAAUCAACAGCUUUACUCAUGUACUCAUCUAAAUUAUUCAGCUGUGUUGGAAAGAAGUUUAUUAAUGCUAUAUUUUACAGAACAAGUAUUCUGUCACUUUGUUCUAUGUUCAGAAGUGUGUUUAUCCUCUCUGUGCUGAAAAAUAUAGAUUUAAAAAGCAAUAAUAAAAUCCUCUUGCUGUUCUUACAAAACUAUAUCAUAAUAAAGAGGUACAGCUGCAGUCCCUGAGAUAUCUCACCGUUUCUGUCCUGAAUCUUUUCUAGUCCCUCAAAGUUAAUGUCAACAUCUUCACAAAGAAAAGCUGAACUUCAGGUUUGAAGGAGAAUAAGUGGAAGUUUCUGUGCUCCCUCUAGUGGACAGAUUAGUUGUAGCAGAAGGUAACUGAGCUGAGACACUGCAGAGAUGAUCAUUCUUGAUCAGUGUCUCAAUAAAUCAGAUAUUUUUCUGUGUUUCUGUCCUUUCUCCAGUUUGUGAUCUGUGGACAGUCCAGAUAUCCAGCCCUGUUGUUGGAGGCUACCUUCACUUCCUGUUUGACAGUCUGACCUUUCACCUGAGCUGGUUUGGAUGGAGGAAGCACAUGGAGCCAACAUUUGGGUAACUAUACUUUGAUUUCAAUCAGUGACUUUAAAUCUGUAGCUGUAUUAAUGUGACUGUGAAUGUGGAGUUCAGAUGGUGAGGAAGAGGAGAAGGUUUAGAUGUGAGGAGACCUGAAACUGCUGCUUUGGUUCUCCAGCUUCUGGAUGA